rnacentral:lncRNA from 1 species
AGAUAACCAAGAAGAAAAUCACUCACCAGUCUUCAUUGGUGAACCUGGAUGGUUCCUAUCUGAGUGUAGCCAAACCGCAAACCUGCCAGACCAGGGCCAGGCCUAAGUCAGAAAACCAGGACUCAGCUUCAGAAUCCCACACAGCAUUAAGGAAUAAUUCUUUGAAACCAGUAACACUUCAUCAUCCCAAACAGGAUUUAGAGAGGAUGUCAACAGAAACCAGAACGUGUACUUAUGAAUCUCCAGGGAGGAGACUAAUAAAUGCAGCCCCAGUAGAGGAAGCUCUCCCAGAAGAGUUGAAGAUAAAGGACUAUCCAAACCUUCUGCCUACUCCAUCUAGUCAGUACUGUGGUCAUAAAUACUCUGAAAGUGAAGCUUAUGUUCAUGAGAACUAUCAUCCUACGAACAUGGCCUCUCAGUGUUGUAAGACACAUCCAGAAUCAUGCAGUCAUUGUAGGAUGUCCUGGGCAUCUCUCAUGCAUGAUGGAGUGACACUGCAACCCAGAGAAACCGACAUCGAAAAACAACUCUCAGAAGAUCGAAGGCAGCAGCUGAUGCUUCAGAAAAUGGAACUGGAAAUUGAAAAGGAACGCCUUCAGCAACUCCUGGCCCAACAAGAGACAAAGCUUCUCCUUAAACAGCAGCAGCUGCACCAAUCCCGACUAGAUUACAAUUGUUUAUUGAAGCCGAAAUGUGAUGGAUGGCUGCGUGGAACCUCAUCGUCCUUCAGAAAGUGCCCAGACUCUCCAAACAGUGCGCAAAACCAGAAGGAGAAGAAAACUGUUGAGUUUCAGUCACACGUGGAGAAUGGCAUUCAAUGGACAUGUCAACAGAAUGACACAUGCAGACUCCAGAGAGAGACAGCAACUGGAGUUAGAAAAGAUGCUUCCACAUCUCCUAUGUCAACACAAAGCCCUAAACACCCCCUGACACCAGCCUCAUCGUCAUCCAAGCACAAAACCUCAAGGUAUGAGACAUCUCUGUUGGACUUGGUUCAGUCUCUGAGCCCAAAUUCUGCUCCUAAAUGUCAGCCCCAUUCCUCCAGAGCAGCAGGGACAUGGAGUGCUCUCCGACCUACCCCUAAGACAUCUACCUGGAAGAAAGUGGGGACACAUAAGAGCCCUGAGGACCUGGAGGAGAAUCAGAUUCUGGAAGACAUAUUUUUCAUAUGACUCUGAAGCACAUGCUACAGAAUUUCCACAGGAAAUAUUUGAGUUUCUUUCCAUAUUGAUGUAGGAUGUUAAACUGAAAAGAAGCCGUGUCUCUCCUUUCGUGGAGACCUCUUGCUGGCAUCCUUUUAUAGUAUUGAAUAUAGAAAGCAUUCUUAUAAAUCAGGGUGGUUUUUGUCAGACCAGUUAGCAGAAACAGACUAAAGGGGGUCACUUAGAGGUAGGAUCUUUUCUAUACCAAACAGAAAUUAGAAAUUGUGGAUACUGCCUGCAUAGUAAAACCCAUGAAUGUCUAGUGUCAUUUUAAGAGUGUUUUCAAUUUACUACUGCAAAAAGUUGACUCUUUACAGAUGGAAAACGUUCCCAUUGACAGACCCCUUAAAUAUGAAAGUAGCCACUUCAGAAAGGCUCUUCUCUCCUCACCAAUGCUAAGUGUGGCGCUUCAUUCCGACGUUGAAGUUGGUGACUCUAAUAUCAUCUUACAUGGGACCAAUACUUGUGGGUCAUAGUGGUCAACCGAGUCAUUGCCACCCCUUAAACCAAAAGGCUGAAUGACUUAGAGGGAAGUUUGCAACCAGACAGUGGCAUUAGACCACAUGAGGGCAUGGCCGCCUGGGGAAAUUUACCAGUGUCCAGGCAGCCACCUCUCCAGUGUUCCAUGAUGGGUGUUUCUUGUCGACUUCAGUGUUGUAAACUUUACCUGUGGUUGUGUCUGAGGAAGAUAGCACUAGAGGAAGAGUGGUGUCGAGUGGCUGCAGGCUGGCAGGUUCCUUCUGCCCCACCUCACACCAUAGGACGAGUAUCCUCCUCUGAGCACCGUGGAUGCAGAGUCUGAGAACGCUCUGCUGAUUACCCUUCUUGGCCCAGAUCUAGAUCUUUUCUCCUCAGGCUGAGCUCAGUGCU